GCCUGAUUAGCUCAGCUGGUUAGAGCGUCGUACUAAUAUCUUCACAAAGAGAUAUCAAGUCAUGCGAAGGUCAACAGUUCAAUCCUGUUAUUGGGCA
rnacentral:tRNA from 1 species